rnacentral:rRNA from 1 species
AUGUGGGAAACCACGAUGCGGGAAACCCAAGUGCCAGCACUAUGUGUUGGCUGUCCUCAAGUGUUCGUAACUUGGGAAGAAAGUGCUGGGUAAGACGGGUGCCAGCCGCCGCGGUAAUACCCGCAGCACAAGUGGUGGUCAUUAUUAUUGGGCCUAAAGCGUCCGUAGCUGGCGUGUUAGAUGCCUGGGUAAAUCGAAGCGCUCAACGCUUCGACUUCCGGGUAGACCGGCACGCUCGAGACCGGGAGAGGCAUGGGGUACUCGGGGGGUAGGGGUAAAAUCCUGUAAUCCUCCGGGGACGACCAGUGGCGAAGGCGCCAUGCUAGAACGGCUCUGACAGUGAGGGACGAAGCCCUGGGGCGCAAACCGGAUUAGAUACCCCCGUAGUCC